rnacentral:misc_RNA from 1 species
AAGUCGUAACAAGGUUUCCGUAGGUGAACCUGCGGAAGGAUCAUUAAUGAAUAUAAAUCGUACUGUUCACGCAGUAUGUGGGGUGGUGACUUCGGUCCCGCUCAUUCAUAUCCAUAACACCUGUGCACUGUUGGAUGCUUGCAUCCACUUUUAAACUAAACAUUAUUGUAACAAAUGUAGUCUUAUUAUAACAUAAUAAAACUUUCAACAACGGAUCUCUUGGCUCUC